rnacentral:rRNA from 1 species
CCUACGGGAGGCAGCAGUGAGGAAUAUUGGUCAAUGGACGAAAGUCUGAACCAGCCAAGUAGCGUGAAGGAUGACUGCCCUAUGGGUUGUAAACUUCUUUUAUAUGGGAAUAAAAUGUUCCACGUGUGGGAUUUUGUAUGUACCAUAUGAAUAAGGAUCGGCUAACUCCGUGCCAGCAGCCGCGGUAAUACGGAGGAUCCGAGCGUUAUCCGGAUUUAUUGGGUUUAAAGGGAGCGUAGGUGGAUUGUUAAGUCAGUUGUGAAAGUUUGCGGCUCAACCGUAAAAUUGCAGUUGAAACUGGCAGGCUUGAGUACAGGAGAGGUGGGCGGAAUUCGUGGUGUAGCGGUGAAAUGCUUAGAUAUCACGAAGAACUCCGAUUGCGAAGGCAGCUCACUGGACUGCAACUGACACUGAGGCUCGAAAGUGUGGGUAUCAAACAGGAUUAGAUACCCGGGUAGUC